AUCAACGGCCAAUUCAGAGCAAAGACCUAAUAUCUUUUAUCUGUAAUGUCUGACGUUAAGGAGGGUUGGGCCUGGUUAGUGCUUGAAUGGGAGACCAGAGUGAAUACCAGGUGCUGUAGGUU
rnacentral:rRNA from 1 species